AAUAAGAGGAAUAUCAGAAGCGGUACCACUGAACGAACUGCCCCACUUUAUAAGGCGCUUAGUGGCCUCAGUCCUCCCCAACAGGCAGGCGAAACACUUUACAUUUGACGGCGUAUACCACAUUGCCAAAUCCCGACAAGCACCACAGGCAUCCCCACACGACAUCAUCUUGAGAUGCCAAUCCAUAACGGAUAAAAUAGCCUUAAUGGCAGCCAUUAAAGGGAAAUCCCCGCACGACUUUGAAACGCAGCGAC